AUCAUUUUGGCAGAAAUUUUAUUGUGAUAAAUUUAGAAUUUAUUUAUGUAAUUUACAUUACAAAUGAUA
rnacentral:tRNA from 1 species